AGUCGAACGGUAAGAGCGGAGCUUGGUCCGGCUGACGAGUGGCGCACGGGUGCGUAACGCGUAUACAAUCUACCUUUUACAGGGGUAUAGCCUUUAGAAAUGAAGAAUAAUCCCCCAUAAUAUCUUAUUAGUGGCAUCAUUAAAAGAUUAAAGCUUCGGUGGUAAGAGAUGAGUAUGCGUUCUAUUAGCUAGUAGGUGAGGUAACGGCUCACCUAGGCGACGAUAGAUAGGGGCCCUGAGAGGGGGAUCCCCCACACUGGUACUGAGACACGGACCAGACUCCUACGGGAGGCAGCAGUGAGGAAUAUUGGACAAUGGGCGCAAGCCUGAUCCAGCCAUGCCGCGUGCAGGAAGACUGCCCUAUGGGUUGUAAACUGCUUUUAUAUAGGAAGAAACCAUUCUACGUGUAGAGUGCUGACGGUACUAUAAGAAUAAGCAUCGGCUAACUCCGUGCCGGCAGCCGCGGUAAUACGGAGGAUGCAAGCGUUAUCCGGAAUCAUUGGGUUUAAAGGGUCCGUAGGUGGAUAGAUAAGUCAGAGGUGAAAUCCUGCAGCUCAACUGGAGAAUUGCCUUUGAAACUGUUUAUCUUUGAAUUAUGGUGAAGUGGUUAGAAUAUGUAGUGUAGCGGUGAAAUGCAUAG
rnacentral:rRNA from 1 species